AGUGAACGCUGGCGGCAGGCCUAACACAUGCAAGUCGAACGGCAGCACAGUAAGAGCGUGCUCUUACGGGUGGCGAGUGGCGGACGGGUGAGGAAUACAUCGGAAUCUACUUUUUCGGGGGGGAUAAGGUAGGGAAACUUACGCUAAGACCGCAUACGCCCUACGGGGGAAAGCAGGGGAACGUCGGACCGUGCGGGAUUGAAUGAGCGGAUGUCGGGUUAGCUAGUGGGGGGGGUAAAGGCCCACCAAGGGGAGGAUCCGUAGCCGGUCUGAGAGGAUGGUCGGCCACCCUGGAGCUUGGCCACGCUCCAGACUCCUGCGGGAGGCCGCAGUGGGCAAUAUUGGACAAUGGGCGGAAGCCUGGCCCAGCCAUCCCGCGUGGGUUACGACGGCCUUCGGGUUGUAAAGCCCUUUUGUUGGGAAAGAACAGCAGCCGGUUGAUACCCCGCUGUUCUGACGGUACCCAAAGAAUAAGCACCGGCUAACUUCGUG
rnacentral:rRNA from 1 species